GGAAUUGUGCCCGAAUACUCAAGGACCAUUUUGAUAGAAUGACACAUGGGGGUUAAAAUCCCCCCAAUUCCU
rnacentral:tRNA from 1 species